rnacentral:rRNA from 1 species
UACGAAGGGUGCAAGCGUUACUCGGAAUUACUGGGCGUAAAGCGUGCGUAGGUGGUUCGUUAAGUCUGUCGUGAAAGCCCCGGGCUCAACCUGGGAAUGGCGAUGGAUACUGGCGGGCUAGAGUGCGGUAGAGGAGAGUGGAAUUCCCGGUGUAGCAGUGAAAUGCGUAGAGAUCGGGAGGAACACCAGUGGCGAAGGCGAGUCCCUGGACAACACCUGACACUGAGGCACGAAAGCCGGGGGAGCAAACAGG